UACGAGGGCCUCAAGCGUUAUCCGGAAUUAUUGGGCGUAAAGGGUGUGUAGGCGGCUGUGUUAGUCUUGCGUUAAAUUCUUCGGCUCAACCGGGGUUCUGCGCGGGAAACGGCACGGCUUGAAGAUGCGAGGGGUCUCUGGAACUCAUGGUGUAGCGGUGAAAUGCGUUGAUAUCAUGGGGAACACCGAAAGCGAAGGCAGGAGACUGGAGCAUUCUUGACGCUGAAACACGAAAGCGUGGGUCGCGAAUGGG
rnacentral:rRNA from 1 species